GUGGGGAAUAUUGGACAAUGGGCGAAAGCCUGAUCCAGCCAUGCCGCGUGUGUGAAGAAGGUCUUCGGAUUGUAAAGCACUUUAAGUUGGGAGGAAGGGCAGUAAGUUAAUACCUUGCUGUUUUGACGUUACCGACAGAAUAAGCACCGGCUAACUUCGUGCCAGCAGCCGCGGUAAUACGAAGGGUGCAAGCGUUAAUCGGAAUUACUGGGCGUAAAGCGCGCAGAGGUGGUUUUGUAAGUUGGAGGUGAAAUCCCCGGGCUCAACCUGGGAACUGCCUCCAAAACUGCAUGACUAGAGUACGGUAGAGGGUAGUGGAAUUUCCUGUGUAGCGGUGAAAUGCGUAGAUAUAGGAAGGAACACCAGUGGCGAAGGCGACUACCUGGACUGAUACUGACACUGAGGUGCGAAAGCGUGGGGAGCAAACAGGAUUAGAAACCCGAGUACC
rnacentral:rRNA from 1 species